rnacentral:rRNA from 1 species
GAGUUUGAUCCUGGCUCAGAACGAACGCUGGCGGCGUGCUUAACACAUGCAAGUCGAACGAGAAAGUGGACUUCGGUCCGCGAGUACAGUGGCAGACGGGUGAGUAACACGUGGGCAAUCUGCCCAGAGGUGGGGGAUAACUCUCCGAAAGGGGAGCUAAUACCGCAUAACAUCCCGAGCUCUUCGGAGCUCGGGAUCAAAGCUUGCCUCUGUUUCAUGCAAGCGCCACUGGAGGAGCCCGCGCCCCAUUAGCUUGUUGGUGAGGUAACGGCUCACCAAGGCUCCGAUGGGUAGCCGGCCUGAGAGGGUGAACGGCCACACUGGAACUGAGACACGGUCCAGACUCCUACGGGAGGCAGCAGUGAGGAAUUUUGCGCAAUGGGCGAAAGCCUGACGCAGCGACGCCGCGUGAAGGAAGAAGGUCCUCGGAUUGUAAACUUCUGUCAAGAGGGACGAAGUCGUUUCGGAUGAAUAAGCCCGAGGCGUUGACGGUACCUCUGGAGGAAGCCCCGGCUAACUCCGUGCCCA